rnacentral:tRNA from 1 species
GGGGGCUUAGUUAAGUGGUAUAAUUUCUGUCUCCAAAACAGAAGUCGGGGGUCCGAUUCCCUCAGCCCCUG